rnacentral:rRNA from 1 species
ACGUAGGUGGCGAGCGUUAUCCGGAAUUACUGGGCGUAAAGCGCACGCAGGCGGUCUUUUGGGUCUGACGUGAAAGCUCCUGGCUUAACUGGGAGAGGUCGUUGGAAACUGGGAGACUUGAGGCAAUGAGAGGGGUGUGGAAUUCCCGGUGUAGUGGUGGAAUGCGUAGAUAUCGGGAGGAACACCGGUGGCGAAAGCGGAUCUCUGGCGCGUUACUGACGCUGAGGCUCGAAAGCGUGGGGAGCAAACGG